rnacentral:lncRNA from 1 species
UCUUAGCGUGUGUGUAUGAUGUUUGUCUGUUUAUUUUAGCAACCUAUUCUUUCUCUUAGAACGUGGAUCCCGUCGAGUACGACGGACGUGAGGGGUGCUAAUACCUUCCCCUUGCGUAACCGACUCCCUUACCCUUUCUCUUUGGUCGCGAGACCAUGCUUUUUCCAGGUUUCUCUGAGCGUUUCCUUUCCCUAUCUUGGGAUAAAUAACGCGCAGUGGCGGCUCUGUGUUGUUU